UUGCAAAACCUUAUCCAUCAACGUAUAACUAUUCAAUUUUGUGAUCGAUUUUCAUUUUCUUAAGCUUACUCUUGCAAAUAGGUUGCUUUGCUCUAAUGUAGAAGAACAACGUUCAGUAAUGUUAGAUUUUCUUGUUGAUAUGCUUAGAAUUGUUGACUAUAGAGUUCAUGGCAUUUGAUAGAGAGUUAAUGAGUAUUUUAAUGGAAUAAGAUUUGGACCUAAGGCUUGGAUAAAAUGAAAUUACAAGAGGUACAAUUUUCAUUUCAAUUCAGUGAUGAAAAAUAGUGCAUCUUAUCUUAUUAUUUUCAGAUUUGGAUGUCUAAUCCAACUAGGUGGGCCAAAGUUUAGAUUCAAAAUAGGGCUCUCAGCAAAUUCAUAAGUAAAAAUUCAGAUUGGCCAAUCUGAAGGGCCCAACCCAAAACGAGGAAUUCGAGAUCCAGAACAAACUCUUCUUUUCUCAGUCAGCCAUAUUAGAACUCGAGAGCAGCGACUCAAGCUCAGCUAGCGAUCAUCAGCGAAGACUCGAACAGCCAUGUCCGCCGAAACCUACAUGCAAUCAAGUAAAUCUCAGUGAUAUUGAAGACGUAAAAAAAGGACUCAAAUAAGUUCAACCUUUGUGAUUGGUAUUACUUGGGACGGAAAGACUAGCAAAGUUCCACUAUUUUCUUUAAAACAAAAUGAAGCAUCAUAUGCAAGUGGGCAGAUAAAAGUAUUUUUCUUCAACCAUUGGAAUUUUUUCUACUUUUUCUAGAUGAAACUAAGCUUUUAGUUAAAUUUUUUUUUUUUGGUUUGAAAAUAUGAAAAUCAAUGCUUUUAGCAUUUUAGUUUAAUAUCUAUUAAAAUGCUAGUCUACAUUACAAUCCUAUAUUCAAUCUUUAUGUAGAUGAAGAUAUUAGGUAUGUGUUGUGAUUCACACUUGUGCACAUAAACAAAAGCACAAUUACUGUUGGUUUGUAGUUGCCAACUUGAAGUUACAUGCCGUGGGGUUCUGGAAGAAGCUUAAGAUUUGCUAAAGGUAUGUGUGUUAACUUAGUUGGGAUAUGCUGCUUAGUUAUAAAGCUUUUUUCUUAAUCCUUAUUUUCUUGAUGUACUUCAUUAUUGAGUUAUUAAAAUUUUCUUUUUUUUUUUAAAAAAAA